GCAGCAUGGCUUGGUUCUUUGUUAUGAGAGGAAUAUAUACAUCAUGCAACAAUCACAAAAGAUAAAAAAGGAAAAAUAAAUGAAUAUAAAAAUGUUUUUGUGUUACAGGGAGAAACGGGUGUUUGGAAAGACUUGUAGUGUGUAUGAACGUGCAUACCUCCCCCGUCCGUCUGUCCGUUCUGCCCUUCCUUUGCUCAUGCGCUCCUGCAGGCAGCAGAUAAUGAAGGACACGGACAUGGCGAGGAUGACGAUGCUGCUCACUACCGAUGCCAGCACGGCCACUCUCAGCCCGCGGUCCUCUGGUUUGGGAAUGGCUACCACAUUUACACAAUAGUCCACAUUGAAAAUCUGGGAUUGAAUUAGCAGGAGUGCAUUUCUUAACUGUUUUUAUCUCUUUAAAACAGAAAUGAUGGCAGUGAACACAGACCCUCGCAGUCAGGCGGGUAGUUGCUCCACUGAGCGGUGUUGCUGCGCAGGACACAGGUGAUUUUCUCGCUGCCCACCAGCUGGUACCCCUCGAGGCACCAGAACGCCAACACCGUGCCCACGGACAUCCCACUGCCCUUCUCUACAUAGAAAGAACCUCGCCGUGGGGGCAGCAGCGAUGCGCAGCUCAGGACUGCAAAAGAGACAAACAGAUGGUAUAACAAAGAUGUGUACUGUAAAUGCUGCACGGUGGAGUAGUUCGAUGAAAAAUGGGACUGACCGAAGACCCUUCAUGUGGCGUAAAAGUCCGAGCCGAGCUCCACGUUAUUGACCACAGCAGGAAACCCCAGGUGAGCAGGCU